CUUCCAGCAACGAUUAUUUGUCCACCUGUCGACGUUCACUGCGCUUGCCUUGAUGUGCCGCUUCUGGUAGAAAUUAAGGCACGCGGUGAAUGCCAACAUGUGAAUGCCGAUACGUGAAAGCGACAU
rnacentral:precursor_RNA from 10 species